GCGAGUGUGAUGGAAUAGGUAGACAUAGCAGACUUAAAAUCUGCCGGUCGUAAGGCUGUGCCGGUUCGAGUCCGGCCACUCGCA
rnacentral:tRNA from 1 species